AACGAACGCUGGCGGCAGGCCUAACACAUGCAAGUCGAGCGAGAUCUUCGGGUCUAGCGGCGGACGGGUGCGUAACGCGUGGGAAUAUGCCUCUUGGUACGGAAUAGCCUCGGGAAACUGGGAGUAAUACCGUAUGUGCACUUCGGGGGAAAGUUUUAUCGCCAAGAGAUUGGCCCGCGUUGGUUUCGGUAGUUGGUGGGGUAAUGGCCUACCAAGCGGAGGAUACAUAGCUGGUUUGAGAGGAUGAUCAGCCACACUGGUACGGAGACACGGCCCAGACUCCUACGGGAGGCAGCAGUGGGGAAUCUUAGACAAUGGGGGCAACCCUGAUCAAGCCAUGCCGCGGGAGUGAUGAAGGCCUUAGGGUUGUAAAGCUCUUUCAGCUGGGAAGAUAAUGACGGUACCAGCAGAAGAAGCCCCGGCUAACUCCGUG
rnacentral:rRNA from 1 species